GAGGGAGCUUGGGAGGGCUUUUGCUGAUGCCACUUGUUCUUCUUGCCAUAAAGACGGUGUCUGACUUCCAGGCAACAAUGCACACAGAAGUUACAAGUGUGGAUACUAGAGUCAGAGCCUGGAUUCCAAUGCUGCUUCUUAACAGCUGUGUGACUUUCCACAAGUAAUGCAACAUCUCUGGGUCUCUGUUUCCUGUUCUGCAAAAUGGGGGUACUGUCUACUUGCCCCAGGGACCUGCUGUGCUGAGGAUCAUUCCCAGGAAGCACCUAGCACCAUGCUGGGUCCUGGCAAGCCACUGACAAAUGUUCACUGUCACAAUGGCCCUGCUUCCUCUGGUGCUCGGCACCAGGCUGACAUCGAGUACACAGUCAAUGAAGAAACAAGGAGACUCUGCAAGGAGAUACAUUAGGAUGAUGUACUGACAAAGCCUUGGGAAAACUGCUGGUGCCUUUGCUGGGGGGAAGAUUUCCAGAUGGAGCUCCUCAGGAUGGCCUGCCAAUCCAAUAAACUCAGGUUCCUAGAAAGCCUCCCCCACCCCACCCCACCCCCACUCUGUAAGCCCCACCCAAACCAGGACAGCAGCAAUUCUCCCCUUCCCCUGGUGUGCCUUCCCCGGUGGUCUGUUUCUUUAGGACAGGAACGCAGCUGUCUGGAAGGCACCCAGGGAAGCCAUUCCUUGGGACAUGUCCCCUGACCCACCCCCGGCAAGGCUGGGAUGACAGAAGGACAAACCCAGCCAAACAUAUGGACCCGUGGCCCAGGAUAGGCAACAGCUGGGCCACUGCCUGACUUUUCUUCUGCUCCUUGGAAUAUUCUGGCAAUGAGAAGACAUAGUCUCAGCAACUUAUAGACAUUUUCCCAGGAAAUCCUAACCGCUAAGGGAACAAUUUGCUCCAUUCUCACACAUUUCAAUCUACUUAUUUGGAAGACCAAUCCUUGCGUGGGCAUGCACGCACAUGCGCGCGCGCGCGCACACACACACACACACACACACACACACACACACCCUUCAUGUGGUCUUGUGUAGAAGUACACAAACCUGAUAAUAGCAACCACUAAUAUUUAGUAUAUGCUAAGUAAUAAAAGUAGCUACUAUAGUCAUCAUCUCAUAUAGUCCUCACAACAAGCAUUGAGACAGGGGCUCUAUCCACAUUUCACAGAUGAGGACACAGAGGUGGGCUGCCUUUCACAGAACAAGCUGCUAGCCAUGCUGGGGCUGGCGUCGGAGCCCAGGUCUAAGAACUCUGGUACAAGGAAUCCACUCCCUUUCCCGGAUUUGCCUCCUCCACCUGUGCUUAAGGAGUUAACCUUGUCGGAGAGGUUUUCUUUCCUUGGUUAUGUUUUCUAUUCUUUGGGUAAGUUUGACAAAGUGGGGUUCUUUUUCAUCGCCAGAGUCUGUGUCCCUGGAGGCUGAGGAAGGAACCAGAAGUUGCACUUUCCAACAUGGAUCGCCUGCUAAUUUUCCAAGGCAGCUCAGCCCCUGCCAGCGUCCCCUCCCUCCUUUGGGCUGAGGGCCCAGGAACCCAGCCUCAAAGUUCAGCUUGCUUCCUCCAGCACGCACAUUUGGAAAUUGAAAUUUCCCACAUUUUCACCACACAAAAGCCAGGUUGUAUUUUUGUUCUCUUCAAAAUAUGCCAAAGGAAUUUUUCCUACCCCUUGAACUUUCUCCAAAAAUAAGUAGAAAAAGUCAAGACCAUUUUGCCCUGUAAGCUGAGAAUAGAAAAAUCAACAUGCAGGGUGCCAUUUCCAGGAUGUUACGAAACAGCGAACAUGUGAAUCCGUCUCAACACCAUUUGGCAACUUUGGGGAUACAGUAGAUGAUAUUUCUCACCCACAAACUCCUCACUGAGUUUAUAUUAACAUUUUGCUUUUUUUUUUUAAAAAAAAAGAAAAAAGA
ensembl:lncRNA novel transcript